AGUAGCCCAUACAAAAAUUAAAUUUGGGCCAAAAUUAGUAAUGCCCAGCCUAAAAUAUUUAAUCCGAAACUCCAGAUAUCACCUAAGCGACAAAUUUGUUGGUAGUACAAAUAAUGAUUUUGUGAUUGAUAAUGAAUUCGAUGAGGAAGGCCGAUGGGCCAGUUACAAUCUCAAUCAAGAUGUCGAGAUGACAGCUUAUGAUUUAUUCUAGAUAAGUUUUUUUUUUUUUAUGCCUUUUAUGUCAUACUAAUGAAUUUUCUUCAUUUGUUUUGUUUUGUGUUUUU
rnacentral:lncRNA from 1 species